CCUACGGGAGGCAGCAGUGGGGAAUAUUGCGCAAUGGGCGAAAGCCUGACGCAGCGACGCCGCGUGAGGGAUGAAGGUCUUCGGAUCGUAAACCUCUGUCAGCAGGGAAGAACGGUCACUGUGCUAAUCAGUAGUGAAUUGACGGUACCUGCAAAGGAAGCACCGGCUAACUCCGUGCCAGCAGCCGCGGUAAUACGGAGGGUGCGAGCGUUAGUCGGAAUGACUGGGCGUAAAGCGCUCGUAGGCGGUAUGGCAAGUCAAGGGUGAAAUCCCCGCGCUCAACGUGGGCACUGCCUUUGAAACUAGCAAACUAGAGUGUGUGAGAGGAUAGUGGAAUUCCAGGUGUAGGGGUGAAAUCCGUAGAUAUCUGGAGGAACAUCAGGGGCGAAGGCGACUAUCUGGCACAUAACUGACGCUGAGGAGCGAAAGCGUGGGUAGCAAACAGGAUUAGAUACCCUUGUAGUC
rnacentral:rRNA from 1 species